UACGUAGGGUGCAAGCGUUGUCCGGAAUUAUUGGGCGUAAAGAGCUCGUAGGCGGUCUGUCGCGUCGGCUGUGAAAACCCGGGGCUCAACCCCGGGCCUGCAGUCGAUACGGGCAGACUAGAGUGCGGUAGGGGAGACUGGAAUUCCUGGUGUAGCGGUGAAAUACGCGGAUAUCAGGAGGAACACCGGUGGCGAAGGCGGGUCUCUGGGCCGUAACUGACGCUGAGGAGCGAAAGCGUGGGGAGCGAACAGG
rnacentral:rRNA from 1 species